rnacentral:rRNA from 1 species
UACGGAGGGAGCUAGCGUUGUUCGGAAUUACUGGGCGUAAAGCGCGCGUAGGCGGCUUUGUAAGUUAGAGGUGAAAGCCCGGGGCUCAACCCCGGAACUGCCUUUAAGACUGCAUCGCUUGAAUCCGGGAGAGGUGAGUGGAAUUCCGAGUGUAGAGGUGAAAUUCGUAGAUAUUCGGAAGAACACCAGUGGCGAAGGCGGCUCACUGGACCGGCAUUGACGCUGAUGUGCGAAAGCGUGGGGAGCAAACAGGG